rnacentral:rRNA from 1 species
UAAUACGAAGGGGGCUAGCGUUGCUCGGAAUGACUGGGCGUAAAGGGCGCGUAGGCGGACGAUAUAGUCAGAUGUGAAAUUCCCGGGCUCAACCUGGGGGCUGCAUUUGAUACGUAUUGUCUAGAGUGGGGAAGAGGGUCGUGGAAUUCCCAGUGUAGAGGUGAAAUUCGUAGAUAUUGGGAAGAACACCGGUGGCGAAGGCGGCGACCUGGUCCUUGACUGACGCUGAGGCGCGAAAGCGUGGGGAGCAAACAGGAUUAGAUACCCUGGUAGUCCACGCCGUAAACGAUGUGCGCUGGAUGUUGGGUGACCUAGUCACUCAGUGUCGCAGCUAACGCGAUAAGCGCACCGCCUGGGGAGUACGGCCGCAAGGUUG